UUUUAUGGUGGGCAUGCGUGGGGCUCCUUUGUGAGCGCCGGGUUUCCUGUUUCGACCGGUCUACCAACCUGCGUAUGACCACCACCUUU
rnacentral:antisense_RNA from 2 species